CCUAACACAUGCAAGUCGAACGGUAACAUGACUAGCUUGCUAGUUGAUGACGAGUGGCGGACGGGUGAGUAACGCGUAGGAAUCUACCCAGUAGCGGGGGAUAAGCCAGAGAAAUUUGGUCUAAUACCGCAUACGCCCUUCGGGGGAAAGCAGGGGAUCUUCGGACCUUGCACUAUUGGAUGAGCCUGCGUGAGAUUAGCUUGUUGGUGAGGUAAUGGCUCACCAAGGCGACGAUCUCUAGCUGGUCUGAGAGGAUGAUCAGCCACACUGGAACUGAGACACGGUCCAGACUCCUACGGGAGGCAGCAGUGGGGAAUAUUGCACAAUGGGCGCAAGCCUGAUGCAGCCAUGCCGCGUGUGUGAAGAAGGCCCUAGGGUUGUAAAGCACUUUCAGCAGUGAGGAAAGGUUAGUAGUUAAUACCUGCUAGCUGUGACGUUAACUGCAGAAGAAGCACCGGCUAACUCCGUGCCAGCAGCCGCGGUAAUACGGAGGGUGCGAGCGUUAAUCGGAAUUACUGGGCGUAAAGCGCGCGUANGUGGAUUGGUCAGUCAGAUGU
rnacentral:rRNA from 1 species